rnacentral:misc_RNA from 1 species
CGCACCUUGCACCUUCUGGUAUUCCGGAAGGUACACCUGUUUGAGUGUCAUUAAAUUCUCUCAACUAGACAGUUUACGCUGUCUAGCUUGGAUUAUGGAGGCUGCAAGCUGCUGUACUGCGGUUCGCUCCUCUUAAAUGUAUUAGCUUUGGAGACUAGUAACUUGUUUCCGACAAUGCCUCCUGGUGUGAUAAUUAUCUACGCCGUUGGUUAGGACUCUAGAGUGACCGUCUGGGCUUACAAUUGUCUCCUGCGAGACUAGUCCUUGGACUAUUAAUGACCAUUGUGACCUCAAAUCAGGUGGGACUACCCGCUGAACUUAA